rnacentral:other from 1 species
UCCCUCUCAGCAUCCAUUGCCUGUUCAGAGUGCAGCCAGUGGACAUGACCUACCCAUUAGGGGCACUGACAGGCCAUAGAUAAAGAAUAAAACAUGUUCCCACUCCACCCGGAGCAAGAAUGUGACCCAGACAAAGGAAGUGACCAGGGCAGAGGAGGUAGCCAGGCUGAGGUGACCCUAACCCAGGA